AACGAACGCUGGCGGCGUGCCUAACACAUGCAAGUCGUGCGAGAAAGUUCCUUCGGGAGCGAGUAAAGCGGCGCACGGGUGAGUAACACGUAGGUAACCUGCCCCCCAGUCUGGAACAACUAGAGGAAACUCUAGCUAAUGCCGGAUGAGACCACGAUCCCCUUCGGGGGUUGCGGCCAAAGAUGGCCUCUACUUGUAAGCUAUCGCUGAGGGAUGGGCCUGCGGGCCAUUAGCUUGUUGGUGAGGUAACGGCUCACCAAGGCUGUGAUGGCUAGCUGGUCUGAGAGGAUGACCAGCCACACUGGGACUGAGCACGGCCCAGACUCCUACGGGAGGCAGCAGUGGGGAAUAUUU
rnacentral:rRNA from 1 species